GUUGGCGACUUUAUUCAAAGCCUGAGAGACUGCUGGGUCUCCUUUGAAAUGCAUGCUCACUUGCAACAUGCUUUGAACAAGAUUACUAUUGGAUCAAACAUACACAAAAAAAUUAAAAAUCAGCCAGAGAAUAAUCUAGGAAAAUUAGUGACAGUCAUCUCAAACAUACAACAAGAGCCUUCUUACUUUUUCAAGUUUCCCUUCCAGGUCAUCGAGAUUGGCAUGGUUUUCUUCCAGAACAUCCCUGAUAGUAGGAAAGUAAAAGCCACAAUAGAAUUGUUUCAAAAUAAUUUGUACAAUAAAAUUUGAAGUACCUAAA